UGUGGAACUCGGGAGAAAUAGAAUCUCCACUUCCUAACUAGGUCUGCGUAGUUAUGUUCGCAUAACUAGAAGAGACGGAGGUCUGGUACUUGAGGAAAAGAAAAGGGAUCUUGUGAAAGUCAUUAAAUACAGUGGUGCGGGAGAGAGGAUGGACGUAUGCAUAUACCCGCGCUGUUCCUAUCAUCUCAGUGCUUCGGAGAACUCAACAGCCCAGUGCUUCACCAGGUAUUGAUCCUAAGUUCAUGACCUAAUAUCCGAUCAUUAAACUCUGUCUCUGAGUUUUCUAUUAGAAGAACUCAACCUGUGACACAAGAUGGAUAUCAGACAAUCUCUAAGUGAGGAACUAUUUUUUUUUAAGUUCUGUUUUCUUUUAAAAUGCCAAUGUCAUCAAAGACAAAGAAAGGCUAUGGAAAUGUUCCAGAUUAAAACAGACUAAAGACACAUGGCAACUAAAUGUAAUAUAUGAUG